GCCACAUGAUGCUUAUAGAGAAAUGAAAGUUUUUAUGAUUACUCACUAUCUAUCACCCUUGACUGAUGGCA